rnacentral:rRNA from 1 species
UACGUAGGGUGCAAGCGUUAAUCGGAAUUACUGGGCGUAAAGCGUGCGCAGGCGGCUUUGCAAGACAGAUGUGAAAUCCCCGGGCUUAACCUGGGAACUGCAUUUGUGACUGCAUGGCUGGAGUGCGGCAGAGGGGGAUGGAAUUCCGCGUGUAGCAGUGAAAUGCGUAGAUAUGCGGAGGAACACCGAUGGCGGAAGGCAAUCCCCUGGGCCUGCACUGACGCUCAUGCACGAAAGCGUGGGGAGCAAACAGG